GACGAACGCUGGCGGCGUGCUUAACACAUGCAAGUCGAGCGGUAAGGCCCUUUCGGGGGUACACGAGCGGCGAACGGGUGAGUAACACGUGGGUGACCUGCCCUCAGCUCUGGGAUAAGCCUGGGAAACCGGGUCUAAUACCGGAUAUGACUCCAUGACGCAUGUUGUGGGGUGGAAAGCCUUGUGCGGCUGAGGAUGGGCCCGCGGCCUAUCAGCUUGUUGGUGGGGGAUGGCCUACCAAGGCGACGACGGGUAGCCGGCCUGAGAGGGCGGACCGGCCACACUGGGACUGAGACACGGCCCAGACUCCUACGGGAGGGCAGCAGUGGGGAAUCUUGCGCAGUGGGCGAAAGCCUGACGCAGCGACGCCGCGUGAGGGAUGACGGCC
rnacentral:rRNA from 1 species